rnacentral:rRNA from 1 species
ACUUGUACCAACUGGAUGAGCAGCGAACGGGUGAGUAACGCGUGGGGAAUCUGCCUUUGAGCGGGGGACAACAUUUGGAAACGAAUGCUAAUACCGCAUAAAAACUUUAAACACAAGUUUUAAGUUUGAAAGAUGCAAUUGCAUCACUCAAAGAUGAUCCCGCGUUGUAUUAGCUAGUUGGUGAGGUAAAGGCUCACCAAGGCGAUGAUACAUAGCCGACCUGAGAGGGUGAUCGGCCACAUUGGGACUGAGACACGGCCCAAACUCCUACGGGAGGCAGCAGUAGGGAAUCUUCGGCAAUGGACGAAAGUCUGACCGAGCAACGCCGCGUGAGUGAAGAAGGUUUUCGGAUCGUAAAACUCUGUUGGUAGAGAAGAACGUUGGUGAGAGUGGAAAGCUCAUCAAGUGACGGUAACUACCCAGAAAGGGACGGCUAACUACGUGCCAGCAGCCGCGGUAAUACGUAGGUCCCGAGCGUUGUCCGGAUUUAUUGGGCGUAAAGCGAGCGCAGGUGGUUUAUUAAGUCUGGUGUAAAAGGCAGUGGCUCAACCAUUGUAUGCAUUGGAAACUGGU